CGGGGCUUAAAGUCUUGUAAUUGGAAUGAUGGGAAUUUAAACCUCUUCCAGAGUAUCAAUUGGAGGGCAAGUCUGGUGCCAGCAGCCGCGGUAAUUCCAGCUCCAAUAGCGUAUAUUAAAAUUGUUGCAGUUAAAAAGCUCGUAGUUGAAUUUCUGCUGCAUUGCUUGUGUCCCUCUGGGGUCUGUGCAUGUGGCUUUUUUCGGACGGAGUUUCUUUGUCUGAUUGUUUACUUUGAGAAAAUUAGAGUGCUCAAAGCAGGCUUUCGCCUUGAAUAGUUUAGCAUGGAAUAAUAAAGUAGGACUUUGGUUCUAUUUUGUUGGUUUUAGGUACCAAAGUAAUGGUUAAUAGGAACAGUUGGGGGCAUUCGUAUUUAACUGUCAGAGGUGAAAUUCUUAGAUUUGUUAAAGACGAACUACUGCGAAAGCAUUUGCCAAGGAUGUUUUCAUUAAUCAAGAAC
rnacentral:rRNA from 1 species